CUCCUACGGGUGGCAGCAGUGGGGAAUAUUGGACAAUGGGGGCAACCCUGAUCCAGCGACGCCGCGUGGGUGAAGAAGGCCUGCGGGUUGUAAAGCCCUUUCGGUUGGGAAGAAAAGUUCUGAUUUAAUAAAUCGGGACCCUGACGUAACCAACUAAAGAAGCACCGGCUAACUCUGUGCCAGCAGCCGCGGUAAUACAGAGGGUGCGAGCGUUAAUCGGAAUUACUGGGCGUAAAGCGCGCGUAGGCGGCUUUUCAAGUCGAUUGUGAAAUCCCCGGGCUUAACCUGGGAACUGCAGUCGAGACUGUCUAGCUAGAGUAUGGGAGAGGGAAGUGGAAUUUCAGGUGUAGCGGUGAAAUGCGUAGAUAUCUGAAGGAACAUCAGUGGCGAAAGCGACUUCCUGGACCAAUACUGACGCUCAUGUGCGAAAGCGUGGGGAGCAAACAGGAUUAGAUACCCUGGUAGUCCACGCCAUAAACGAUGAGAACUGGAUGUCGGAGGGGUCUGCCCUUCGGUGUCGUAGCUAACGCGUUAA
rnacentral:rRNA from 1 species